UGCAGUUGUGAACAUCCGACCAAACACGUGUCCACGCUGAGCACUCAGAUACAACAUCUCACCUCUGUGAACAUGGACAAACUUGCUGCUGUUCUGUUCUUCUCGACCCUCGUAGGUAACACCUUGGAAGAUGAUAUUACUGCCAACAGUGCUGAAGUUCUUUCAUCUGAGGGCUUCAGUGUUUCCCUGUCCUGUAAAUACUCAGUUAAAGCCAAUAAUCUCCAGUGGUAUCGACAGAAUCCGGGGUCAUCUCCUCAGUUCCUUCUUCUGAUCACUGAUACUCAACAGCCCUCAGUGGUGCAUGCACAACCUCCAGAGCCUCGGCUGACUGCUGAACUGAAUAAGGAGAGAACUCAAGUCCAUCUGAAGAUCUCGUCUGCUACAGUGUCAGACUCUGCUGUGUACUACUGUGCUGUGCAGCCCACAGUGACAGGAAACACCAAGACUCUGUACAAGAACCUCUGGAGCAAAGACAUCUCUGUACACCAUCCGCCAGAGGGAGUCUCCAACUGAAUAACUUUGAGAUCAGAAGCCAACAAAAGUUCAACCAACUCAACCUACAUCAAGGAUCAUCACUGAAGGGUCCUGAAGAGGUUCACCGUGCCCGGGCACCACAGCGGAUCCUCCGAAGUAGCUCCCCACCACCCAUUGGACCGCCUGAACGGAUCAACUUACAAUUGCUCAAGUCUCGCAAAUAAAAUCUGUAAAACCAUUUUGUUGGUGCCGUGAUCCUUGCUAGUGAAUUGGCACAUAGUGUUCAAAUAAAAUAAAUAAUUCUGACAUUAAUUCAGUCAAUCACAGCGAGCAACAGGUGCACACCACCACCCCGCCGUGCCUUCCUAUAACGCUGAUGUGUAUCACUUAACCUAAGAGUGAUCCAGUGGGAACAAACUAUUUGAUGAGGCGAUACAACCUAGUUGAUAAGUCUCUUGGAAGCAGAGGUUUUGAUGAUGAAUCAUUUCAGUGACUUCCAUGUUCUAUCCAUAUAUUCUCCUCAUCCUAUCCGGAUCAAGGUAGCAGCAGACUGAUCAAAUGGGUCCACACCUCCCUCUCCAGAACAACAUUUUCAGAUCAUUGUGAUGAACCUAGUGCAGUUCUCAGGAUCCAUCA